GAGUGAUGAAGGUCUUCGGAUCGUANACUCUGUUAUUAGGGAAGAACAAAUGUGUAAGUAACUAUGCACGUCUUGACGGUACCUAAUCAGAAAGCCACGGCUAACUACGUGCCAGCAGCCGCGGUAAUACGUAGGUGGCAAGCGUUAUCCGGAAUUAUUGGGCGUAAAGCGCGCGUAGGCGGUUUCUUAAGUCUGAUGUGAAAGCCCACGGCUCAACCGUGGAGGGUCAUUGGAAACUGGUAAACUUGAGUGCAGAAGAUGAAAGUGGAAUUCCAUGUGUAUNGNNGAAAUGCGCANAUAUUUGGAGGAACACCAGUGGCNAAGGCGACUUUCUGGUCUGUAACUGACGCUGAUGUGCGAAUGCGUGGGGAUCAAACNGGAUUAAAUACCCUGNUAAU
rnacentral:rRNA from 1 species